rnacentral:lncRNA from 1 species
UAUCUCUCUUUUUAAAGAUGAGUUCCACAAGGAGUGGUGAUCAUAUGAUGAGAAAGUUUUAAAUAGGGCAAAUUAUAUUAGCCACAAACUCUAAUCUUUAUUCUCUUCAAAGGUACUUGAUAGGUCUUUUCAACCAUCAAUAAUAUCCCUUUUUAGGGUGGAAGACUAUCUUGUGAUUUGAUCAUUGUUGAAACCUUUGUAACUUCGUUCAAAUAAAAUAUUUGUAACACCAUCAAGAGUCAUGCCUAUUGUGAUUGCUCAUUUUACUUAUUUCGGAAGAAACCUCCGAGUAUAAACCUAUAUAGGGGGAUUCGAACACGGGAAAUGACUAGUUGCUUAAGCGUUCACAUUAGGGUCACACAAUCAAUUACCUCUUGAAUGUAUCAUCUCUAUUUCCAAUAUCUGAACACACAAGGAAACUAUAAUCUCUUCCUUCACCUUAUCGGUCUCUUCCUUACAGCAAUUCAGUCAUACUAAUAACUGCUAUUUCUACCAAUAUAUUCACCCUCAUAAUCUCCAACUGUAAUACUGUGCUCUCACAGCUUUCAACAUACAAUUACCCUCGUUCCAAUCACUGGAAUUCUUCACACAGAACUGCCAUUCACAUUACAGUGUUUCACACAAACACAGACUCAUUCUCUCUGCUAAACUACAAUCAGAUUUCAGCAUUCAAUCUUUCUUCUUCUCAAAUAAUACCAAUCACAUUUCCAUUCCAUAAUUCACUUCACAAUAUUCAGAAACUGUCAAUCCUCUUAUUCAAAGAAAAUAACAAAUAAAAGAAACGAGGU